UACGUAGGGUGCAAGCGUUAAUCGGAAUUACUGGGCGUAAAGCGUGCGCAGGCGGCUUUGCAAGACAGAUGUGAAAUCCCCGGGCUCAACCUGGGAACUGCAUUUGUGACUGCAAGGCUGGAGUACGGUAGAGGGGGAUGGAAUUCCGCGUGUAGCAGUGAAAUGCGUAGAUAUCAGGAGGAACACCGAUGGCGAAGGCAGCCCCCUGGGCUGAGAUUGACGCUCAGGCACGAAAGCGUGGGGAGCAAACAGG
rnacentral:rRNA from 1 species